rnacentral:rRNA from 1 species
UACGUAGGGUGCAAGCGUUGUCCGGAAUUAUUGGGCGUAAAGAGCUCGUAGGCGGUCUGUCGCGUCGGCUGUGAAAUCCCGAGGCUCAACCUCGGGUCUGCAGUCGAUACGGGCAAACUGGAGUGUUGCAGGGGAGACUGGAAUUCCUGGUGUAGCGGUGAAAUGCGCAGAUAUCAGGAGGAACACCGGUGGCGAAGGCGGAUCUCUGGGCCAUUACUGACGCUGAGGAGCGAAAGCGUGGGGAGCGAACAGG